CACGAAUUCGCGCGUCCAUCAUCAUGAGAACGACAUGAAACUUGCUUGCUUAACUACAUAGUUUGUUGUGUUGUGAAGAAGAGAAAGCGCUUGUGAAGAUCACAUGGCCAAAAUUUCCACUGUUCUCAAGGCGUACACUAUUUUUGUCCAACAGCAGUAUCUUACUAGUGUCUUGAAUAGGUGCUACACCAAGCCAGACCAUCCCUGCCACGCUCACUAGCUAUUAGUUAGCUACACACGUUGGGAAGCAUCUGUGAGCACGCUUGGCAAAGGCUGUGGCGUGAGAAAGUGGGCAAAUAUAGACCGAAGACAGCCAUGGUGAAGCAGAAGGAAAAGCAGCAGACGAAUGGUCAUCAGGCCAAAAGGGUUGUGUUUGGACGCAACAAGAGAGAGAAGAAUGAGGACCCACAGUUGGCUAUGACAGAACCACCAGAGACUAAUCCAAGUGGUGAGAGUAAUCCGUCUGAGAAUAAUACAGGUGGUGACUUUCCUCCUCUCAUGACGGAAUCUUCAUACUCAAAUGAUGAAAAUGAAGACCUUUCUAGCGACACAGAAGUCAUAGAAAAAAGAAGAGGAAAAAAUACAUCUCCAAACCUAAAGCAGCACAGAGAAAGGCCAGGCCUCAACCCUCUCCCCCGUGGACACCCAGCUCUGCCAAAUCCAAAAGGAAAGCUUGUGUAGCCACACCUCUUAGUCAAGGCAAUGACAGAAUCUUCAGACUCAAAUGAGGAAAAAUACCUUUCUGAAGAGAUGGAAGCAAUAGAAAGCAGGGGCUUCAAAUAAGAGAGCAACUAUAUCCAGAGCUAAAGCAGCAGAGCAUAAGGGGAGAAAGAAGGCCAGGCCUCAACCUUCUCCCUGUCAUGCAGCCACAGCUCUUAUCAGUGGAUCAGAGAGGAGGUGGAAGACUGAGGAUGAACCAGACAAACAGCCUAAACCUUUCAGCUUCCGACCAGCCAGGACUCCAGGAGCACAGCUUGACCCUUACCAGAACUACACCCCUCUAGAGCUCUUCCAGCUCUUCUUCAGCAGUGAUGUUGUUGAUACGCUCUGCUCAAACACCAACAUGAAUGCCAAGAGAAGACAAGAAUGGGGAAUGGCAAACAUGCGUAGCGACAUAUCUGUGGUGGAAAUGUACAAAUACCUUAGCAUCGUCAUCUACAUGGGUCUUAUGGGUGGGCAUGCAAUUGGAGACUAUUGGAGUCUAAAAAAGCCAUAUAGACUUCCUUUCGCCCCCUCUGUCAUGAAACAGAACACAUUUUUGGCCAUCUCAAGGUCCCUCCACAUGAGCAACCCAGCAUGAGGAAAACGACAAGAAAAGAGGGACUGCGGACUAUGAUCGGCUCAUGAGAAUCCAACCUCUCAAAGACCAGAUAUUGGCGGCAUGCAGAGCCUUCUACCACCCAUUCCAGAACCUUUCCAUUGAUGAGCGUAUGGUGCGCUCCAAGGCCCGCCACAGCCUCAAACAAUACAUUAAAUCCAAGCCCUACCAGUAUGGGUUCAAGCUGUAUGUUUUAGCUGAUUCACGAAAUGGCUACACCUGCGACUUCAAUGUCUUUAUGAGCAAGAACCCAUCUGCUUCAGGCAAAGGGGAGAGCUAUGACCCUGUGAUGAACCUGUUGAAGCCUCACUUGGGCUCGGGGUACAACAUUUACGUUGAUAACCAUUUCACCAGCACAACUCUCUUCCGUGACCUGUACAAGAAGAACUUUGGAGCAUGUGGAACUCUUGGUGAAAAUCGGAUCGGCCUCUCCAACAUCCAAGAGAACAGCCUGGGUCCUCGAGCAGAGAGGGGGACAAUCCGUUGGUUUCGUGACGAGUAACUGCUCAUCACCAAGUGGAUGGACGCACGACCCAUCACCAUGUGUACCACCAUCCAUAAAGCCUUCGCAGAGGAGGAGGUUCAGCGACGGAAACGGUGUGCGGAUGGCUCCUGGUCAACACAGUCCAUACCUGUUCCAGAAGUCAUCAAUCCUACAACAAGUAUAUGGGGGGUGUGGACCUGUCUGAUUCCCUUGUCAAAUACUACAGUGUGGCCCAGAAAACCAUGAAGUGGUACAAGAGCUUCUUCUAUUGUGAACAGCUUCCUCAUUCAUAAGGACAUGGCUGUGAUAAAGGAAAAGAAGCCCAUGACCCACAAUGAGUUCAGGGAGCAGUUGUGUCUGCAGCUUGCUGACCAUGACAAGGAGGAUGAUCAUAAGGAUGAAGAUUGUGUCCUCGGACCCGAGGGACAGGUUGUGGCACACAAAAGGAACCCCAAGCGCAAGAUUACAGAAGCGAACGAACCAACAUUCUGUUGCCCUGUGUCCAUAGAUGAUCAGACCACCAUUGGCAUUGGAAAAAGAUCAACUUAUGGAAGGAGAAACUGUCGUCUGUGCUUUUUGAAGACCAACUGGAUGUGUGAGUAUUGCAUGUUGCCACUUUGUACACUACCAGACAGGAACUGCUUCAAAGAGUGGCACUUGAACGAACUGCAGACCACAUUGUCAAAGUAACGAGCUCUGUUCAUAGUCACCACUACUCUCUGACCCGGUGGUAGCUCUGUUCAUAGUCACCACUACUCUCUGACCCGGUGGUAGCUCUGUUCAUAGUCACCACUAUUCUCUGACCCGGUGGUAGCUCUGUUCAUAGUCACCACUACUCUCUGACCCGGUGGUAGCUCUGUUCAUAGUCACCACUACUCUCUGACCCGGUGGUAGCUCUGUUCAUAGUCACCACUACUCUCUGAGCCCGGUGGUAGCUCUAUUCAUAGUCACCACUACUCUCUGACCCGGUGGUAGCUCUAUUCAUAGUCACCACUACUCUCUGACCCGGUGGUAGCUCUGUUCAUAGUCACCACUACACUCUGACCCGGUGGUAGCUCUAUUCAUAGUCACCACUACACUCUGACCCGGUGGUAGCUCUGACCCGGUGGUAGCUUAAUGGAAGCAAAGGAAAAAGACGUAAUGUGCUUUAAGAAGAUUUACUUCCAUUUGUUUAAGUUGCAGUUAAUUUGAACAUCUUUGUACAUAUGCAAAAGGUUACAUAACGUGAUGUCAUACCAUACUUUUAAACUGUUAAAAUAUGUAAAUCAACCUAAGUACAUUGACAGGGCAUUAGUAAGUCCAACACAAUACCUUAAUAAAUGGACGUCUUUUAGUGAAUGUAGAGGUCAUUUCCAUAGAUUGAGAUCUCCUAAGACCAUAGUGCUUUGUCGUGGUCCGACUUGUUGCAAUUAAAUAUUGCCUUGAACUCAUUAGAUGUUAUCAUAUUACAAUAUUAAAGGUCAAACUUUGGGCUAAAAUAAUGGUGUUAAACUGUAUAAUUGUUCAAUGCACAAUCGUACCAGGUCAUUUAAUGCUAAAAAACUUUGGGGAAAAAUAUGGGUGAAUAAGAUAUUUGGCUACAGAAGUGCCAUUUCUUACUGAUCUUUACAGCUUCCGUCCACAAACAAAACCUGUGAAAUGAAGUUACUGGCUAGGUACGAUGGCUAGCUUAGCUAACAAACUAGCUAAUUCGGUUGCGGCGCGCAUGACCAGAAUGACACAUCGAUGAACCACCAAAAGCACACCCCAUUGCUGUUUGAAUAUGGAGAAAGAGGUGAAGUUGGGCAGUUUUUUUGUGCCCAAAGUCUACCUUUAAUUUUAUUCAGCUUAGCCUUUAACUCAUUUAGAAGUACACCAUAUGAUUAUUUGACAUUGGAAAUCACCAUGACUUUAUCCUGCUGCUAAGGGAUGUAAUGCUUGGCUGGAGAGAUUCAUUUAGCAAUCAGAGGCUUAAGUGGCUUUUUUCACAAUUACUCUUCUUACAAAAUCUCAAUUUCUUUACUGAUAGUUAUUUUUUUAUUUGUAUUUGAUUCUCACUUGUUUAAUGCAAGUCUUUUUUUGAACAGAAUAUGUGCAUGUAAAAAAACAAAGUAAAUGGGGAUAAGGGAAUCGGUUCUGAGGGUUGGGACAGGGGAUUGGUGGGAUAUGUUAUUGCUUAUGUGUCCCUAAUAAAAAUGUUAAUUUUGAA